UUGCACAGCCAUAUCACCCUGCAGCUCAAGACCUGCUUGAGCCUGCUCAGUACCUGGAUGGGAGACCACAUGGGAAAACUAGGUUGCUGUUGGAA
rnacentral:rRNA from 1 species